UUAGCUGGACAGAUUUAGGCAGCUACAAGCUGAAUGAUGCAGUGAAGUGUAGCAAGUAUCUCCAAAUCAGAGGCAACAAAAACACACCCACAACUAACUUAAAACCUGACAUGCAGCUAAGCAGCGUCUAAAGUACAGUCUUAAGUGUGAUUUGUGACACAUUCAGCAGAGAAGUCCAAGAAUGAGAGCGUGACCCCAAGAUAAAGGAUGAGAAACUAGUUUGACUAGAGCUUAUGACAAAAUAUCCAGAUGGGGCAGUCAAUUAGGAAAAAUGAAAACAGCCAGCCAACCCAGGCUGGUACAACUCCAUGGCACAGGAUCCAAGCCUGGGGCUCACGUAGGCUGCCAUCGGCUGGCCUGGCCUUCUUCUGGGCUGGUCGAUUGGGUCAUGGGUACCAUGAGGUCUGCUGCCUUCAUCCUGUAAGCUGGCUUUGAGGAUCAGAAGAGCUUCAAACAUAUGCUGCCGAUGUGAUGUUGUUCCAACACUUCCAGUUUUUAUUAUGGAAGAUUCAGCAGACUUACUGGGAAUUAUCGGAUGGCCACUGAAUCAAACAGAAGUUAGGAAAAGUCAGAAAAUAUAGAAGUACAUAAUAAAUUUUCCCUUGGAAUUUCGUGCAUGAUAGCAAGAUCUUCAUUCAAUGUCCUUAACCAACAUAAGAAUGUUACAAAUAUCUUAAAUACAGUACCAGUAUAAAUUAGAGCAAAUCAUAUGCUUUACUUCUUAGUAACAUCACUGCAAGAAAUAGAUAGAUAGAGUUGUACUUUCAUGAACACUCUCUCUGUUGAGUACAUGAAGACAACUGUCACGCUCGCAUUAAAAAAAAGUCCAGCUAAGAAUCCAUAGCCAGUACCUGGAGUCAUACAAAUCUCAGAUAUUGGCAGUCAUCCAUUCAUGUGAGACAGAAACAAAUGAUGUGAAAAUCACUCAAGCGCUCUGGGCACAAAUGCAUUUAACUAAGACACCAAGAACAAAUGAAAAGACAAUGAUCGAAUCCAGUUAUCCACUUUGCUGAGGAGUCACCCGAAAAACUAAAUGCAACUGCUCAACUGCAUUAUAUUACUUUAACUCUGUACAUCACCUCCUCCAGUCACAGUAAUUCCUGUGUUGGACACACAUAGAAGGUUAGUGUUCUGACAUGGACAACUGCUUAUAAUCUAGUGUUAAAGUAACCUGAAGUGCGCAAUGUCAUCUCAUGGAUGUCACCGGUAUUUCUGAUGUAGACUAAACUAGUUGCAUUUUAUAGUUAGUAUAUUUUUGACCUUUACAUCUAUAUUUCAAAAGGUGUCAGGUUCAGUG